rnacentral:lncRNA from 1 species
GACUUUUGGCCGGAGUGUAGGAAGCAAAGCAAGGAACUGCAACUCUGACUUUGACAGAACCUGUGCAAAGGUAUGAUUAACAUUUAACAGUUGACGAAACUAAAAUGGUAUGCUUCUUAUUUGUUGUGUGUGUGUGUGUGUUCUUUUUAUCAUAAUGGCUAAAGGAACUUCGAUGAAUCCUUAUGGCAAUGUACCUUGGCUUCAAUUAUCCAGACUACAAGCCCUUUUGCACUUGGGGGCAAUGCAGCAAGCCUGUAAUCGACUUCAGGUGGGAAAUACCACCUAGCUAUUGGUUGCUUUCCUACAUGAGCCUAAAUUAGACAGAAACAGCUGUAUGAAAAUAUGAGCAGAGCUGCCAUAUGCUUUUGAGUUUUGAUGAUUGUCAUAUUUACUUAUGCAAUACAUGCAUUGUGCACGGUCAACUUACAGGGCAAACAGGGUAAACUUUAGUGAGAGUAGUUUCAGGAUCACCAAGGCCGCGAGCACUAAGGUCAAGGAAGUAGUAGCCCAGGUAUCUGAGACGAUUAAGAUAACGGCCCUCAUAUCCACCCUCAUGUGGUGUAUAAAUGGCAAUGGCUUUGUGCUUCUCCACAUCUGAAAGCCAACGCCCCAGAUCAGGUUUUAGCAGAUCCCCUCCAAUGAAGUCCCCUAUUUCAAUGCCACUAUUACCACUACAAUUGGUCACUCCAACUCUUUUAGAUGCCUUACCAUUUCUCCUUCUCAAUCCUUGCAUCAUCAUCCAGUUUCGUGUUGGUUGCUGCUUCUGUUGGAUUUUGAUGGAGGCAGGUGUCCCAUAGUGCAAGCAAGGUGCUGCAGCCAUCUAUUUCUUUUAGCUUAAUUGAAGCUUGUGUUGCUUUAGAAAAAAUGAAUGUCAUGACAAAGCAAGAAAAGAAAGAAAGUAAACCAAAGCCAAAGCCACGUUGUAUGGUUGAGAAACAAGAUAAGAAACAAAAUCUCAUUGGCUAAUACUUGGGCCUGGGUUUGGAAAAAGCGGCCCAAGCCCAUAUAUUGAUAAUAAGUCGAGGCCCUUCAAGGCCGGGCCUGGGCUUCUCUAUUA